AUACGGAGGAUCCGAGCGUUAUCCGGAUUUAUUGGGUUUAAAGGGUGCGCAGGCGGGAGAUUAAGUCGGCGGUGAAAUUUUGCAGCUCAACUGUAAAAGUGCCUUCGAAACUGGUUUCCUUGAGUGUAGACGAAGUAGGCGGAAUUUGGGGGGUAGCGGUGAAAUGCAUAGAUAUCACGAGGAACUCCGAUUGCGCAGGCAGCUUACUAAACUACUACUGACGCUCAGGCACGAAGGCGUGGGGAUCAAACAGGAUUAGAUACCCUGGUAGUCCACGCAGUAAACGAUGAUUACUAGCUGUUUGCGAUACAAUGUAAGCGGCUGAGCGAAAGCGUUAAGUAAUCCACCUGGGGAGUACGUUCGCAAGAAUGAAACUCAAAUGAAUUGACGGGG
rnacentral:rRNA from 1 species